AGACAAAUGCAGCUUGCAUGGAUCAACACGGGUCAACCUGCCUGGCUUCACCACUCUGGACCAGCAUUGAAAACAGCAAUGUUGGAGUGAAAACAAUCAAUGAGGAGCAGAAAAAGAAGGUAGAGGCUUGGACAUGAGAUGAGUGUCAUGAUGUGAAGAGGACGCCAGCUUCAGGAAAAAAGUCGUAAACAGAAGUUGUUCCUCCAUCUGCCAUUGGAACCUGACUCCUGCUACCGCUCCACUCCUGCCAUACACCGGACCGGAACCAGCCACCACUGGACCCCGCCGCUAGCCGGCCUACUGUCUCUCUCUGACUGACCCUUCUCCUUCCCGGAAUUCACCUGACCUGUUCUACACCCUGGAAACCUGGACAUGUGUGUGAACAAUUUAUGAAGACUUUUCGGCUCCAGAGGGAGCUGUGUGAAAUCUGAAAAAAAUGCCUCAAUUGAUGUCACUUGUUGGGCUGGAGUCUACAAGUUUGAAAAUGAAAAGAAACUGGGGGUGUUUGGCGUUAGAAAGAAGUGAACCUCCUCGUUUCUGCAUGAGGCAAGCGGAUAAAGGCUGGAUUAGCAGCUACUUGAAUAAGGGACCGUUCGGUAUUUAUGGAAUGGACCACCGGAGGAAAAUAGGGGACGGUCAUGUCUUUUUAUUAU